CAAAAGUGAUUUGUGCUGCUUAUAGUGCUCAUGCUAUUACUCCAGUUCCAGAAACUAAUCCAAAUGAGCAACGCAUACCGAAUGCAGAGCCUGUCCAAAGCUAAUUGAAACAUAUUGAUUUUUGAGAGAUAGGUAAGUACAUACAGCUGUGUAAAUUAUUACAAUAGAUCAAAUAAUCCUUACAGAUGUAUAGCGUAUCAGUGAAAUCUAAUAUGUAACAAACUUCAAUUUUUAACUGCAUCCUUU
rnacentral:misc_RNA from 1 species